rnacentral:rRNA from 1 species
UUUUUAGAGUUUGAUUCCCUGGCUCAGGACGAACGCUGGCGGCGUGCCUAAUACAUGCAAGUCGAACGCUUCUUUCCUCCCGAGUGCUUGCACUCAAUUGGAAAGAGGAGUGGCGGACGGGUGAGUAACACGUGGGUAACCUACCCAUCAGAGGGGGAUAACACUUGGAAACAGGUGCUAAUACCGCAUAACAGUUUAUGCCGCAUGGCAUAAGAGUGAAAGGCGCUUUCGGGUGUCGCUGAUGGAUGGACCCGCGGUGCAUUAGCUAGUUGGUGAGGUAACGGCUCACCAAGGCCACGAUGCAUAGCCGACCUGAGAGGGUGAUCGGCCACACUGGGACUGAGACACGGCCCAGACUCCUACGGGAGGCAGCAGUAGGGAAUCUUCGGCAAUGGACGAAAGUCUGACCGAGCAACGCCGCGUGAGUGAAGAAGGUUUUCGGAUCGUAAAACUCUGUUGUUAGAGAAGAACAAGGACGUUAGUAACUGAACGUCCCCUGACGGUAUCUAACCAGAAAGCCACGGCUAACUACGUGCCAGCAGCCGCGGUAAUACGUAGGUGGCAAGCGUUGUCCGGAUUUAUUGGGCGUAAAGCGAGCGCAGGCGGUUUCUUAAGUCUGAUGUGAAAGCCCCCGGCUCAACCGGGGAGGGUCAUUGGAAACUGGGAGACUUGAGUGCAGAAGAGGAGAGGUCC